AGGCAAGCGAGCCUUUUUGAAAAAUAACAAAAGAAGAGGAAAAAAAAAAAAUCCCUCCCGGAAAAAAAAACAAAACACAAAAAAACCUAGAAAAUAGGAAAAAAAAAAGGACCUCAUAAAUGAUGCAAUUACUUUUAAUUGCAGGCAACUCUUUACAUUUAAGUGAAGUGUCUUAACAUUUUAUAUUGUUUUAAAAAUAUAUUUACAUAUUAUAUAUAUAAUAUACGUAAUAUAAAUAUAUAUAAAUAUUUAAAAAAGAAAAAAAAAGGAACCCACGGCCCUCUUCCCUGGCCGCUGUCGCGGCAGGGGCGGGGCCUGGGGACAGCAGAGGCGGGGCUGGCUCUGGUCGGGGAGGCGCUGGUUAGGUCCGGGGUACAGGGAUCCGGGCCUGGGAGGGGAGGGGGAGUGGUGCCCCCUCCUCCCUCCGCUCCAUUACUCUGCUUGCUACUCUGCUCGCCCCAGCACCUCAGCCCUUUGACCUGACCGCACCCCGCUGUCAUUGUCCUGAGUUGAUGUCCCUUGUGGGGGGAGGGGGCGUCCAUCCAAGUGGGGCAGAUGGAGGGCCCACCCCACCCCACCACCCCAGUAGAGUCUAGGGGGACCCGCAUUUUUCUCGCUUUAGUUCCUGAGCACGAAUGGGCUGGGAGGUACUUGCUUGGGACUGUGUGCAGUCUGGGUGUGUGCGGGUGUGCACCGGCACGAGGCCGCUCAGCUGUGCGUGCAAACGCAUGAGGUGUGCGUGCACAGGCAUGGCCUGUCGUGUGUGGGGGAGGGGAGACGUGAGCCCGAAGGCGCGUGUGAGCUGCGAGGGCACUGGCGUGUGCCUGCCUGCGUGUGCCUGUGGGGGGAGCUCUGCGCGUGCGAACACGUGUUGUGUGUGUGCGGACGUGCCUGGCUUCCAGAGAGUCGUCACGUGGGGACCACAAGCGCGUGGUUAGAGGGUCUUGCUAAGUGACUAAGUUGCCUGGGCUGGCCUCAAACUUGCCAUCUUCUUGCCUCAGCCUCCCAGGGUCUCAAAGCGAUCCUCCCAUCUCAGCCUCCGAGUGCUGGGAUCACAGAUGUGCACCACCACGCCAGCUGCCUCUUGAUUGGGCUGCAGAAUCCAUUCACAUCCACUGUAAUUGCUAUUAAGGUUAAGGUUCGAUGCUUGUUUUGUUACUUUUCCCGUAUGGUCCCUGUUUUGUGCCUCUAGUCCUCGAAUCCUGCUUUCCUGUAAAAUAUUUUCUAAGUUACCUUUUGAAUUCCCUUUCUGUUUCAGUUACAAGACUUUUUGAGUUAACGUCUUAGUAGUUUCCCUGGGGAUAACAACUAGCAUCUUAAUUUCUAGUUAAGAUCUAAACCAAGCUAGUCCGAGUUAACUCUAAUUUUAAUAGUAUAUAAAAUUUUUCCUCCAAUAUAGCCCACUUUCCUCCCACUUUCGCACACACCAUUGUCAUACAAGUUACACCCUGACCCAACAGUUUUGUAAUUAUUGCUAUAUGUGGUAAAAGCACGAAGACAAAGUUACAACAAAAUGUUUCGUUUGUCACCCU
rnacentral:lncRNA from 1 species